GACAGUUUGGUCCCUAUCUGCCGUGGGCGUCGAAAUUUGAGAGGAGUUGACCCUAGUACGAGAGGACCGGGUUGAACAUACCUCUGGUGUACCAGUCGUCCUGCCAAGGGCGCAGCUGGGUAGCUAUGUAUGGACGGGAUAACCGCUGAAAGCAUCUAAGCGGGAAGCCUCCCUCAAGAUAAGAUUUCUUCGAGCGGUCGUAGACCACGACCUUGAUAGGCCGGAUGUGGAAGCAUGGUAACAUGUGGAGCUAACCGGUCCUAAUGGCUCUGAUCGCGCUUGA
rnacentral:rRNA from 1 species